AACGAACGCUGGCGGCAUGCCUAACGCAUGCAAGUCGAACGAUGCCUUCGGGCAUAGUGGCGCACGGGUGCGUAACGCGUGGGAAUCUGCCCUUGGCUUCGGAAUAACAGUUAGAAAUGACUGCUAAUACCGGAUGAUGUCCCCCUGAGAGAUCUUGGGGACCAAAGAUUUAUCGGCCAGGGAUGAGCCCGCGUAGGAUUAGGUAGUUGGUGGGGUAAAGGCCUACCAAGCCGACGAUCCUUAGCUGGUCUGAGAGGAUGAUCAGCCACACUGGGACUGAGACACGGCCCAGACUCCUACGGGAGGCAGCAGUGGGGAAUAUUGGACAAUGGGGGGAACCCUGAUCCAGCAAUGCCGCGUGAGUGAUGAAGGCCUUAGGGUUGUAAAGCUCUUUUACCAGGGAUGAUAAUGACAGUACCUGGAGAAUAAGCUCCGGCUAACUCCGUG
rnacentral:rRNA from 1 species